GUCAACUUGCCAGAGUGGUUAAUGGGUAUGACUCGAAUCUUCCUUCUGAAGGAACUUCUAGAUAUCAUAUGGUUUCGGCCGCGUAGGUUCAAAUCCUGCAGUUGACG